UUCCGGUUGAUCCUGCCGGAGGCCAUUGCUAUUGGGAUCCGAUUUAGCCAUGCUAGUCGCACGAGUUCAGACUCGUGGCGAAUAGCUCAGUAACACGUGGCCAAACUACCCUUCGGAACACAAUACCCUCGGGAAACUGAGGCUAAUAGUGUAUACCGUACCACCACUGGAAUGAGUGGUACGCCAAACGCUCCGGCGCCGAAGGAUGUGGCUGCGGCCGAUUAGGUAGACGGUGGGGUAACGGCCCACCGUGCCAAUAAUCGGUACGGGUCAUGAGAGUGAGAACCCGGAGACGGAAUCUGAGACAAGAUUCCGGGCCCUACGGGGCGCAGCAGGCGCGAAACCUUUACACUGCACGACAGUGCGAUAGGGGGAUCCCAAGUGCACAGGCAUAGCGCCUGUGCUUUUCGGUACCGUAAGGUGGUACCAGAAUAAGGGCUGGGCAAGACCGGUGCCAGCCGCCGCGGU
rnacentral:rRNA from 1 species